GGAUUACAGGCAUGAGCCACUGCGCCCAGCCUUAACUUGUUUUAGAUAAAUUAUUGGUUUCAUUUUUCAAACAGAAAAUGAAACUUCAACAAGCUAAAGAAUAGUGCAUGACUUGUACCAUUGACAGUGGUUCCAUGGCUGCCUCCAACAACCUCCCAGGCCCCUUCCUGAGCCAUCACAGGCAUCUGAAGGCACCGUCUUUACCCCUUGGUCGCAAGAGCAAAAUAGAGUGGAUGCAGCCUCUGUAUUCAUGUGGCUGAAUAGGAAAGUGAAAACAAAUUCCAGGGACUGAAAUGGAAUUGCUUGUAGGAACAAUUUGAUCAAUUUAUUUUAGCGUAGUGAUUCUCACCUAUGACCUAUCAUCCAAAUGGGUAUCCUGUGACUUCCUUUGUUGUUGAAUAAUGGUUUUGAGGGUUCCGUUUCAAUUGGCAACAUAGCAGUUCCAGAAUGUUUGCAAUCAAAAUGGCCAAUUUCCAUUCAAAUGUCAAUUACUAUGGGUGAGGAAAUCAGCAUUACAUCACAGAUGUGUGAGCACCUACACAAAGCCUGCAAAUGCUGGACAGGGAACCUCGUGCAAAUAAUAUGGCAGUAUUGGCAGGAAUGAUGGAGGAAUCCCUUUAAAAUGUACACUUCAGGCAGCAGCAGCUAACAGAAGGCCUGACCAUCAGAAGGGAAAAUGCACAUGCAGAUGAAUGUGUGGCAGCACUGGGAUCCUCCAGAUAUCCAGUUGAUUAUGAGAACUAUGACUAUCUGCAUAGUCAGAGUCAUUCUUUGGAAUCAGACAGAUGUGUAUGGGCUGGAGUAUGUACAUAUUAGGGCCAUAACAAUGAUUCAAGUCAGAGAAUUAUCAACCAUUGAUCACCAGUUUUCUCUGAAAUAGUCUGAAAACUGGUGACGAGAAGCCACUCACCAUUUGCUACUAACAGCUCAAAGGUGAAGAAUAUUCCAUUAAAUAAAGCACUAAAGAAGAUAAGCCUCUCCUCAGGCGACAAAGGGCCAACCCCAAAUGAAGUCCAUGCUGCGGGUCUUAAGGUCAUCUGCUCAUAAGAAACUGGUCACUUCUGGUGUGAGUUAAGAUGAAUGGAGAGAGAAUUGGUUCCCAGAGACCACAGUGAAAAAGGUUAAGAACAUAAUAAAGACCGUAAGUUCCCCAAAUA